GCUGGCAUAGCACAGUCGGUAGUGCGUCGCAUUGGUAGUGCGGAGGUCGCGGGUCCGAUUCCCGCUGCCAGCU
rnacentral:tRNA from 1 species